ensembl:snoRNA SNORA70 Small nucleolar RNA SNORA70
UUUCAGCCAGUUAAGCCAACUGUGCUCUUUUCCCCGUGGGGGCCCGGUGUGCACCUCCUCGGUGGUACGUGCAGCCUGUGGACUGUACAGGUUGCCCUCAGGGACGCUGGAUUCAGCC